GGCCUCUUGGCGCAAUGGUAGCGCGUUGGGCUUCGAUGCCUAACGGAUACCCAAAGGUUGCAGGUUCGAGUCCUGCAGUGGUCA